AUGGCAGCGCGAGACGGUGUCAUCUUCGCCAAACUGAGGGGAUUUACAAAAGUUAUCCUUGAGACGGAUUGUUUGGAGGUUGUAAACCUCUGGACCACUCGCCAUGAUUCACAUUCAAUUGUGGCACCAGUUUUAGUAGAAAUUGAAGAGCUUACUAGUAGUUUCCAUUCUUUUGUUAUUCAACAUGUAUCCCAGUCAGCUAACGGUCCAACUCAUAUUUGUGCGAGGCAUGCUUCCACGAUUGACUUUACCAAAAGUUGGCUCGACAACACUCCUAGAUUCCUGAUCAGCAGCUUAUUGGCUGAUUGCUCGACGAACUCCUUUAGUGAAUAA
rnacentral:rRNA from 1 species